rnacentral:sRNA from 1 species
CUGACAAACUUGGAAAGUGAAGUCAUCCAUUUAUCCACAAAACAGGCAUUGCACUUGCAGGGGCAAUAUUUGCUUCCCCUUUACUGACUUGCCAAGAAGUUUGAAUGUUUUUCCCAAAGAUCACAUAGGUGGGAAGAGUGUCACCCAUUGGGAGUGAAUGCCCACAUCAU